GACAGAGGUGCCAAGCGUUAGGCGGAAUCACUGGGCUUAAAGCGUGUGUAGGCGGAUCGUUAAGUGCCUUGUGAAAUCCCAUGGCUUAACCAUGGAACUGCUCGGCAUACUGGCGGUCUUGAGCCAUCUAGGGGCUACCGGAACAAAUGGUGGAGCGGUGAAAUGCGUAGAUAUCAUGAGGAAUACCAGAGGCGAAGGCGGCUACCUGGACAAUUGCUGACGCUCAGGCACGAAAGCGUGGGGAGCAAAAGGG
rnacentral:rRNA from 1 species